rnacentral:rRNA from 1 species
CCUACGGGGGGCUGUAGUGGGGAAUAUUGGACAAUGGGCGAAAGCCUGAUCCAGCCAUGCCGCGUGUGUGAAGAAGGCCUUCGGGUUGUAAAGCACUUUCAGUGGGGAAGAAAGCCUUGGGGCUAAUACCCUCGAGGAAGGACAUCACCCACAGAAGAAGCACCGGCUAACUCCGUGCCAGCAGCCGCGGUAAUACGGAGGGUGCGAGCGUUAAUCGGAAUUACUGGGCGUAAAGCGCGCGUAGGCGGUCUGAUAAGCCGGUUGUGAAAGCCCCGGGCUCAACCUGGGAACGGCAUCCGGAACUGUCAGGCUAGAGUGCAGGAGAGGAAGGUAGAAUUCCCGGUGUAGCGGUGAAAUGCGUAGAGAUCGGGAGGAAUACCAGUGGCGAAGGCGGCCUUCUGGACUGACACUGACGCUGAGGUGCGAAAGCGUGGGUAGCAAACAGGAUUAGAUACCCUAGUAGUC